AUUGAACGCUGGCGGCAUGCUUUACACAUGCAAGUCGAACGGUAACAGGCCGCAAGGUGCUGACGAGUGGCGAACGGGUGAGUAAUGCAUCGGAACGUGCCCAGUCGUGGGGGAUAACGCAGCGAAAGCUGCGCUAAUACCGCAUACGAUCUAUGGAUGAAAGCGGGGGACCGUAAGGCCUCGCGCGAUUGGAGCGGCCGAUGUCAGAUUAGGUAGGUGGUGGGGUAAAGGCUCACCAAGCCAACGAUCUGUAGCUGGUCUGAGAGGACGACCAGCCACACUGGGACUGAGACACGGCCCAGACUCCUACGGGAGGCAGCAGUUGGGAAUUUUGGACAAUGGGCGCAAGCCUGAUCCAGCAAUGCCGCGUGCAGGAAGAAGGCCUUCGGGUUGUAAACUGCUUUUGUACGGAACGAAACGGUCCUGGUUAAUACCUGGGGCUAAUGACGGUACCGUAAGAAUAAGCACCGGCUAACUACGUGCCAGCAGCCGCCGUAACAC
rnacentral:rRNA from 1 species